rnacentral:rRNA from 1 species
GACGAACGCUGGCGGCGUGCUUAACACAUGCAAGUCGAACGGUAAGGCCCUUCGGGGUACACGAGUGGCGAACGGGUGAGUAACACGUGGGUGAUCUGCCCUGCACUUCGGGAUAAGCCUGGGAAACUGGGUCUAAUACCGGAUAGGACUCCUGGCUUCAUGGUUGGGGGUGGAAAGCUUUUGCGGUGUGGGAUGGGCCCGCGGCCUAUCAGCUUGUUGGUGGGGUAAUGGCCUACCAAGGCGACGACGGGUAGCCGGCCUGAGAGGGUGACCGGUCACACUGGGACUGAGAUACGGCCCAGACUCCUACGGGAGGCAGCAGUGGGGAAUAUUGCACAAUGGGCGCAAGCCUGAUGCAGCGACGCCGCGUGAGGGAUGACGGCCUUCGGGUUGUAAACCUCUUUCAGCUAUGACGAAGCGCAAGUGACGGUAGUAGCAGAAGAAGGGCCGGCCAACUACGUGCCAGCCGCCGCCGUAA